GUUUCAUGCUUCUGUAGCUCAGGGAAGGGAUUCCUCACAGUGGAAGGCAGCUGCUCUUCCUCCCAUUAAACAGAGGAAGACAUGCAAAUGGGGCUCCUCCCUCUGGCCAUGAACCCAGCACAAAACCUGUGUCUGCUGCUCUAGGAGAGGAGCUUCUCCUUGUGUGGCCUUUCCCAGCUGAGGACUGACACUGUAGAGCCUGAAUCAUGGGAUUUGGACUCAAUGGCAUUUUCAUUCUGAUGAUUUUGCAAGGUGUCCAUUGUGACAUUCAGCUGGUGGAGUCUGGGGGAGAUGUGAGACAGCCUGGAGGAUCCUUGAAACUCUCCUGCAAAGCUUCUGGAUUCACCUUCAGCAGCUACUACAUGAGUUGGGUCCGCCAGGCUCCAGGGAAGGGGCUGGAGUGGGUCUCAGGUAUUGAUACUGGAAGUGGCACAUACUACGCAGACUCUGUGAAAGGUCGAUUCACCAUCUCCAGGGACAAUGGCAACAGCCUGCUGCACCUGCAGAUGAAUUCCCUGAAAGCCGAGGACACAGCCAUGUAUUACUGUGCAAGAGACACAGUGAGGGAGAGCAGUGAGAGAGCAGACAAAAACCUCCUCAUCAGAGAGUUCUGGUGGAGAAUGACAGAGAGGGAACUCCAGAACUCUGAGCACAAGGAUCCCAGUUACAACAACAGGUGAAGAGGGAGGCUGACAAGUGUCUUUUCAAGGCGGUGAUUUUCUCACAAACCCCAGUGAACGUCCCUCUCUCUGUCUCAAUCCCUUUUUGUCUCUGCUGCUCUUUCCUGCUUCUGAUUAGCAGAGGCUCAGGGAGGAGACGUAUUCUCUUAAUGGUUUACAUAUUUUGUAUAUCGUAACUCUAAUUUCUCUGAUGUUGUCAGUCAUGAAGUAGAGCCGAGGUCACAUGACAAAUGAGGAAUCACUGAACAUUCACUACAGGCAUCCUGCAAGGGUUUUCAUACACUCUGAGCACAGGGAAGCACACUUGUGCAUGGAAGUCAGCUGGUGUAUCAUGUCAGUCUGGGGGGAAACUUUUAAAAAACUUUUUUUUUUUAACCUUUGCAUAGGCAGCUGCCUAAGAAGGUGGGAUUCGCGCUCUCAGCCUCUUCUCAUUUCAGUCAGAGUUUCAGAUGUCUUUUGACCUCAUUGGAAGAUGCUUGCUGUGGUCUAUACAAGCAGGAUUUAUGGAAGGUCCUUCCAAUGCUUCUCUGGGGAUAGAAGUGGAAGAAACUCCUUUAACUUCCGUUUAUGAGCUGGCUUCAUUUAAUUAGGGUUAAGUCUAGAUGCUCUGUUCACCAUCUAACAUAGGUGUAUAUAUAUGUGUGUGUAUGUAUGUGUAUCUUUUUUGUGUGUGUUCAUUGUGAUCUUUCCAUGUGUAUAUCCACAUUUGUGCAUAUAUGGGAGGAAUCUAACUGGAGGGAAUAUGAGGCUCAACCAGACUUUUCAUAUGAUCAAAAUCUUAUUCCUUUUGUCCCUUUGGAGGGGGUUUCCAUGCUGGCUUGCCCAGCUCAAAGGCCUUUGUGGUGGUCUUCAUUGGGACUGGGCCAUGUGGGAGGCCUGUGCUGGGGUCUUGGGACUUGAGACUUGGGGCUGCUUGGGGCCUCCCUGUGAACCUGUGCUAGGGGCAGGGCCUCACUGGUGCUUGUGCCAGGUUGAAGCCUUGUUUCUGUGGGCAUUUGUCCUGGCUAGAGGCCUGGCUGAGCCCUUGCUAUAGGCCCUUGCUAGGAGUGGGACCUCAUAGCUCACUUUGCUGCCUAGAGUUAGCCCGGACUGUCCCUGUCACGUGGGCUGGGGCUCCCCCUUCUCUGACUGGGACUCAGCUUGCCUUUGCUUAGACUGGCUAGGAUGAAGCCUUACUCAGAAUGCUCCAACUGUGCUUCCCUCCAAGGCCUGUGGGACUAACCUUAUCUGCUGGCUCUCUGGGCUGCUCUGGUCUGCAGGACUCUUAACUGCUUUUAAAUUCAGAGCUGCAGGGAACCAAAGAGAACCUUUCUGGCAAUCCAAGAACAUUACCUCAAGCUGGGAGCUGAAGAAGAAGCAGAAUCAAACUGUGGUAAUUCAGAACUAAUAUACAAAGGAAUUUGUGGGCCAAUAUUUUGUUGAAAAGUGUCCUUUCUGCUGGUAUAGUUGGAUAUUAUUUCCAUGCUUUAAAAAUUCCCUAGUGAAGAUAUGCUCUAACAGGCUUUGUGAUUCCCCUGCAUCAGACAUCCUUGGGCUUCUUUAAGGAUUUGUCCAGAAUAGUGGAAAAAGUAGACUGAUGCACUAAAACUCAUGCAAGAUUUAGACUACCAAUGUUGAAUUACUUAAUGAUGCUCUUAAUGUGCUCACUAUUGUAUGAGCUGAUUUUUAAUAUAGGAGCUAUCUUUAUUUAUAUUAGCAAUCUUCCUAUAAAUAAAAGCAGAAUGUAUAAAAAUAUUCAGUUUCAUGAAAGAAUAAUCUACAGAUACUUUGAGAAUAUUUAUGCAAUAACUUGUUUUUGUAUCAAGCCCUUACUAAAUAACAAAUAGUAAUUAAUUAACAAGUUUUGAUUUUUCCCUUUAAAUAUCAAAUACUAUGUUUAUGUGUGUACAUAUAUACUAUAUAUGUAUAAUUAUGUAUAUAUACAUGUCUUAAGAGUUGUUAUUAAUUGAUUGACCCUGUUGUCUUUUAGAAGAAUGGAAUUUCUGUGUUUAUCUUUUAAAGUUAAUUUUAUUUUUGCUCUUGCUUAUUUGCUAUCAUGCAAGCUCUUUUGAGGUGACUUGAAGCUUAAUAGAGUUGACUGCAGUCUGUUUGAAAAUUAUUUUUUCUAUCCUUUGCCAUUUUUUCAUUAUUUAAUUCAGCAAAAUUAGUCUCCAAGUAAAUUGUGAAAAUAAUACUUUCUUAAUGUCCUCUGAUUUUUUAAAAACAUCAUAACGUUUCCCUGCAUCCCUGACUCUCUUCUCUACCUAGGGAGUCAUCAUAUCUAACAAUAUUUUAAAAUAACAUUUUAUUUUUCUCAAAUUACAUGUAAAAAUAAUUUAACAUUUAGAAAAAAUACUUCCAAAUUUUCUCCUUCCAUACAGCAAUUUUUUAGAGAUUUUAUAAAAGCAAUCAUGUAAAAUAAUAUUCCCUAGAGGUCCUUUAGUGGAGGAGAUCUAAAAAAAAGAAGAAAGUGAAAUAUAGUGCAUCAGUUCCUUCUCUGGAGGAAUAUGGCAUUUUUUGUUAUGAGUCUCUGGGAUUGCAUCAUAUCACUCUACUGAUGAUAAUAGCUAGGUGAUUCACACUUGCUCAUCAAACAAUAUUACUACUAUUGUGUACAAUGUUCUUUUGACUCUAUUCACUUCACUUUGCAUCAAUUCAUCAUGUCUUUCCAGGUUUUCCUAAAAUCCUCAUCAUCAUCAUUUCUGAUAGCACAAAUAAUAUUACAUUACCAUUACAACUUCUAUAUCCAUUCUCAAAUUGAUUGACAUUCCAUCUGUUUUCAAUUCUUUCCUACCACAAAAGAGCUGCUAUUAAUAUUUUUGUACUUCGACAGGCCGGCUAAACCUUGUGAAGGUAGCAAUCGGGUCGUCGUAGACCCCUGGUGAACCAGGGCUUUGCUCACCCGGCAUGUGAUGACUGUUUCGGCGGAAAAGGCUGAAGAAAGCAACAAGAAGGUUCCACGGCUGAGAUGGCGAUACAGCAGGGAACCAUGUGGAGUGCUUAGGGCGUGUUGGAGCACAAAAGACAACACGGCCAUUCAACGCAGCUGAGGAAGUCUCCAGGUGUAAUGACUUUUCGUGCCAAUGGACCCAGGCUUCCAAUGCCGAGAGAGUGGGACUGUCUCUGUGCAUCAAUUUUUCCACUUAAAUCUUUAUGCACAAGUGUCUUUGUGCACAAAAACGCACAAAGACAAUCGUCAUCCUCAGUUACCGAGAGACUACUACAACUAGGUACUUAUCCCUUUAUAAAAAUCUCUUUGUGAUUCACACUUACUUGUGGUAUUAUUGGAUGAAAGGAUAUACAGUUUAAGAUCCCUUUGUACAUAGAUGUAAAAUAUUUUUAAAGAAAACUGAAGAUGAGAAGAAAAUCAUCAAGUUAUACAUUUCAAAAGUCUGGAAUUAUGUACAAUUACAGUUUUGUGAGACCCUUUAUCUUCACAAAGCUCUGGGGUUAGAGCCAUCUCAUACAUUUACUUUGGAAUUAUGAUUUUUGUUUGUAAUUAUGAAACAUUCACUUUCUUCUCUUUAAGUGUGGUUGUUUCUUCCUUUUCAUUGCUGUUGUCAUAUUUAUUGGUUUCUUAACUCUGCUUCCUUCUUUCUGAAUCAGUUGAUAAAAUCUUUCCAUUUUUUCUAUAUUCAACAUAUACAUAACUUCUUAAUACCAAGGAAUAUUUCGUGAAUGUAAGUAAAUGUACCACAGUGUUUAGCCAGUCCCCAAACAAUGGAUAUGAUUGAAAAUAACUUUCACCCCCUUAUGGAAGCCCCACAAAACUUCCUUGUGUUCCAGCUUCCUAAAGGCUGGCCUGGUAAUUUCUUCUUCUCACACAAUUUGAGGAUUCUAGCUUCCUAAAGCAACUUUUUGACUGAGAGCCUUAAAAAGUCUGAUCUAUGUGUAAUUUGGAUUUCUCAGAUUUGCUCAUUAUUUCGAUUAAUUUCUCUGCCUCAUUUUUAUAUAGGUGAUUUUGUCUUUUAAACUAUUAUUUUAUUCAGAUUCUCUAAAUACCAAAGUUACUAUGUCAUGGUAUGUGAAGAAAUGAAAAAGGGUGGAACUGACAGGGGCUGGUGGUGGUGACUCUGGGAGAGGAAGGGAGAGGUGAGGGAAAGAAGGGUUAAUGGAU